UACGUAGGGCGCAAGCGUUGUCCGGAAUUAUUGGGCGUAAAGAGCUCGUAGGCGGUUUGUCGCGUCUGCUGUGAAAACCUAAGGCUCAACCUUGGGCUUGCAGUGGGUACGGGCAGACUAGAGUGCGGUAGGGGUGACUGGAAUUCCUGGUGUAGCGGUGGAAUGCGCAGAUAUCAGGAGGAACACCGGUGGCGAAGGCGGUUCUCUGGGC
rnacentral:rRNA from 1 species